AUGGCGAGGUGUGUGUGGAGCUUGUGUGAUCCACAACUGACACAACAUGUGUGUAUGUCCGAGUGCCCGAAUGCCCGUGAGUGGCUUUUUCAUCUUAUGGAGACCACGUCCCAUGAGGAGUUCAUUGAGAUCUUGCUGAUGUUGUGGGCUAUUUGGAUAGCUAGAAUAAAGGCCAUUCAUGAAUCGAUCUUUAGCCCGGUCACUAUAAGAGGCUUUGUUACAAAUCUGUUGGGUGAACUACAGCUUAUUACUGAUCAUAAGGAGAAGGCCAAGCCGAUGGGGAAACAGUCGCCGGGCUUGAACAAGCGCUGGAUAGCACCAUUGGCUGACUUCAUGAAGCUAAAUGUCGAUGGGGGAGUGGCAAAAGUACAGAACAAAGGAGCAGCAGCGGUGGUAUGUUGAAAUGCAGAUGGAGUGUACCAAGGAUCGUCAGCUCGUGUUUAUGAUGAUAUAACAGAUCCUCCGAUGCUUGAGGCUCUUGCUUGCUGCGAAGCUAUGGCCCUAGCUAAAGACCUCAACAUUCAAAAGUUGCGGAUCGCAUCUGAUGCUUCUGUUGUGAUCAAGGCGAUAAAUGAAGGGAGCCGAUGCAGCUAUAGUUCGGUGCUGAAGGAGAUUGAGCAUAGGCGGCGGGACUUCCAAGUUGUGGAAUUUGUCCAUGAAGGCAGAGAGUUCAAUACACAUGUGCAUAACCUCGUUAAGUGUUCUCUGUCUUUAGAUCACGAUCGGUAUGUUUGGCUCCUGAAGCCUUGGGAUGUAAUAAUUGUACCCAUUGUCGUUGAUUAA
rnacentral:rRNA from 1 species